UUGAACCGCCUGCCCUGUUAGCAACAAGUGUUCAUGAAAAGUAAUUAAAAAAACAAGUUUAAGUAAUAAAAGUGUUGGAAGAGCUGUUAAAUAUAUGUUCUGAAGUAAUUACGAAAAUAAAUCUGAAAACACAUCAUCAGUUCUAGAUUCUGAAUAUACUAGAAAUUUGAUGAUGAAUAAAAAUUGAAUGUCUAAAGUAAAAAAUGUAGCUUUCAUCAAGAAUUAAGCUCCAUGUUUUGCAGCAUUCACAUUAUCAUUAUUCAACAUCAAAUGUAUUGCUAGAAAUAUUUCUCUCUCAGAAGUAAAUAUGAUUCUGAACUGUAAGACUUACCAUCUAAACAGAUCUUAAAGAGUAUCGUUUUUGUAUUGAAUUCUGAACCACACAUUGUGUGUUGAAUCAUAUCAGGAGAUGGUCAGAUUGUCCCAUUCCUAGAAUAUGCUUCAUACUUUUAUCAAAAGAGAAGUGACCAGUUUGAGCAAUUUCAGCCAACCAUAAGCCAUUGUUUGAUCUCAUUUCUGGUGUUCUUUUGUUUUUAUUUUAUGUGUUUUUCAGUGAAAGGGCCAGCUGAGGUUAUCAGCAGAUAAAAAAAAGUCUUGAAAAGCUUUAGCAAAGUCCGCACCAUGACUGAAGCUUUCAGAAUCAAUGACGUGGACCGGGGAACUAUCAAGAUGACUGCUGCAAUUGCGGAGCUCAACAUUGCGGAUCCUGAAACCUUCAAGACCCUUGAGUAUGAUCCUGCAACUGAGACCCUGCAGUCCUUUACUAAGAGGUACUAUUUUAUUCAGGUCCCAUACAGCAGUAGCUGUAGGGACCAGUGCUCGGGGCGAUGGAUUUUUUCUUCUUCCUCUUCCGGACGCAAUUUCGUCCCGCUACUAGUCCUACAACUUGAAGAGUUGCAGGACAAAUGAUAUAUCAAAACGUGCGGUUUGAUCUUAAAUACAAACCACCGUCAUAACUGGCAUUAUCAAGGACACUGUACAGUGACGCACAUUGUUCCAGCAGCUGUACAGUAAAUUAACUGUUAAUGUCACAGAUCGUACAUUUUCUUACAGUUGACUGUUUUUAUUUUGUUGGGAGUUGUAACUCUCCUUUAGGAAUAAGGUCAACGCUUCUUUUUUUUUUUUUUUGCUCAAAGAAUUCUAGCAUUGUAAUUAAAGUUUUUAUUUGUAUUUUUUGGUUUAGGGUUUUGUGUACAGCAUUGCAGACUUUUGUUUUACAUAAGUGUACAAUUGGUACUGUGACGGAUGUUACUGUGGUUUAAAUGAACAUGUAGACAAAAAAAAAGCAACAUUUUUGUACGUAAGGAUUUUAUUUUCAGUGAAAAACGUUUGUACACGUUUGUAUGGUGUAGGAAAACGGUGGACUUAAACAAUAAAAUGAUUUUAACUACAUCGUAA